CCUCGGAGCUGGAAGACCGUUGCAUCGAUCGUGGAGAGACCAGAGAUAUUGAGUUCUAGCUAGUAGUGAGUGGAGUUGAAAAGGGUCUGACCACCGUGGCAGGUGUUUCCAAGUGUUACAAUGCCUGAAACAGUGAUGGAUGCCAUCACAGCAGCGCUCCCAAGGCUCGAUGAGGAUCGUUUGA